GCUCGGGGCUGACUCCACGGGGACUAAACGAGCCUGCGUGGGCUGGAGGCAGCCCGAAAGCCACGAAACAGAAGUGUCUGGUUUUCCCGCAGGGGUCCGAUUUGCAACCGGUAAGGCCGGAGAUAUUGGGAAUUUGGAGCCGUUCCUACUUUAAAGCCUACGUCCAGAAGUCACCUUCGCCCCACAGUGUCUGCCCUCAUGUAAAUGGCCCUCCCAUCAGUUACCUCCCGUGAAUCAUAACGACAAACAAGAUCUUGUUAUUUUUCUAGAAUAUUCCAAAAAUGAGCAUCUGUGUUUGGAGCGAAUUCCAGCGGGGCCGAGCUUGUCUUCUCCGGCAUGAUGGCACCGCCAGGGCUCUGGGAGGAUCUCCGGGCCAGGCGCCGGCCUAGUGACUGGGGCUGGGAGGAGCUGGGGAGGCAUGGCCAUUGGCGUUUCUGCGUAGAACCGCAGCCCAGGGAUCCCGCAUCCGGCCCCGCAGCAGUCUCGGGUUCUCUGGCGCGCCCGCUCGCCUCUCGAGAACCUAGUCCCCGCGCAGGCCUCCCCACAUCGGAGCCGGGAACACCCUCCAGCACCGUCGCAGGACCCCGAGGGUCCUACCCAGUCAUUAGCAAGAGUCGAGGCUGGAUUUUCAGCGGCCGCCUGCGUUCAGUAUAAAUGGAACGUGCUAGGAAACUCCGAUAUGCAGCGAUUUUCUAAACAUCCCGUUAUCCCUGAAACCCGUGUGGCCACCGCCAUGAGUCAUGCAAGGACUGGGCGACAGAAGCUCUGAGCUUCUAUUUGUAAAACACAGAAUAAAUCGGGAGAGCUGAAUGAAGACAAAGCCAUUUUUAAACGUUCGAUCGGUGAGAUCUCCCCCACUUAGCAAACGCUUUCAUUUUCAGAGCUGCCUGUGGCCUUACGCAGGUUCAGAAAAUCGAUUGUAUUCCUGGGUGAAUUCCACCCAGGGAACCGAGUCCUGGGAAUGCGCGCCCAUGUACACAGAAAGCCCACAUUUUAGAAGGAAUGUAUGAGUGAAAAAGAAGCAAGUAUUCCGGA
rnacentral:lncRNA from 1 species